UACAUCCAAGAGCUGGAUUUCAGAAAACUUCAGAUGCACGAAUAAUAACACAUGCUGCCGCAGAAGAGACUUCCUUAGUUUGAAAAUGGAUUUGAUUAUUUUUUAAUCAAGAAUCAGCCUGAAGGAACCGAAUCUCUAAAGUCAACCCUCUAGAAGCUGAAAAGGGCAGAUACAUCUCAUGAGACAUAGCGAGAUCCUGUCAAGCUCUGUCAAGUUGGAUGGGGAACGUCGAUGCACAGCUAUUUUCAGGUCCUUCCAGAGAUAUUCGAUCGGGUUCAAGUCCGGGCUCUGGUUGGGCUACUCAAGGACAUUCACAGACUUGUCACAAAGUCACUCCUGCAUUGUCUUGACUGUGUGUGUAGGGUCAUUGUCCUGUUGGAAGGUGAAUCUCUGCCCUAGUCUGAUGGCCAGAACGCUCUGGAGCACGUUUUCAUCACGGAUCUCUCUGUACUUUGCUCCAUUCAUCUUUCCCUUGAUCCUGACUGGUCUCCCAGUUCCUGCCGCUGAAAAACAUCCCCACAGCAUGAUGCUGCCACCACUAUGCUUCACUGUAGGUAUGGUAUUGGCCAGGUGAUGAGUGGUGCAUUGUUUCCUCCAGACGUGACGCUUGGCAUUCAGGCCAAAGAGUUCAAUCUUGGUUUCAUCAGACCAGAGAAUCUUGUUUAGGUGCCUUUUGACAAACUCCAAGUGGGCUGUCAUGUGCCUUUUACUGAGGAGUGGCUUCCGUCUGGCCACUCUACCAUAAAGGUCUGAUUGGUGGAGUGCUGCAGAUAUAGUUGCCCUUCUGGAAGCUGCUCCCAUCUCCACAGAUGAACUCUGGAGCUCUGUCAGAGUGACCAUCAGGUUCUUGGUCACCUCCCUGACAAAGGCCCUUCUCCCCCGAUUGCUCAGUUUGGCCAGGCAGCCAGCUCUAUGAAGAGUCCUGGUAUUUUCAAAGUUCUUCCAUUUAAGAAUGACAGAGGCCACUGUGCUCUUCAGGACCUGCAAUGCUGCAGAAAUUGUUUUAUACCCUUCCCUAGAUAUGUGUCUCGACACAAUCCUGUCUCAGAGGUCGACGGACAAUUCCUUUGUCUUCAUGGCUUGGUUUUUGCUCUGACAUGCACUGUCAACUGCGGGACCUUAUAUAGACAGGUGUGUGCCUUUCCAAAUCAUGUACAAUCAAUUUAAUUUACCAUUUGUGGACUCCGAUCAAGUUGUAGAAACAUCUCAAGGAAAAUCAAUGGAAACAGGAUGAACCUGCUCAAUUUUGAGUGUCAUAGCAAAGGGUCUGAACACUUGUGUAAAUGUGAUAUUUCAGUUAUUUUCUUUUAAUUACUUUGCAACAAUUUCUAACACCUGUUUUCGCUUUUUUAUUAUGAGGUAUUGUGUGUAGAUUGAUGAUUUAAAAAAAUGAAUUUAAUCAAUUUUAGAAUAAGGCUGUAAUGUAACAAAAUGUGGAAUAAGUGAAGGGGUCUGAAUACUUUCUGAAUGCACGGUAGGUACAUGAUUAGGUAUGUGUAUAAUGUUAUGGUGUAUUAUACAUGUACAUUGGCAUGCCUGGAAUGAGAACAUGUUCAGCACUGUUUUUUAGGCCAUUCCCACCUAUAACAUUAAUGCCAGAUGGGCCUUUCUCUGAGUUCUUGUCCUUUCAUCUCAUUCUAAUGGUCGAUUUUGCUGACACAGCUGUUUAAAAUAAAAUCAAUUUGGAGA